rnacentral:tRNA from 1 species
GUCAGGAUGGCCGAGUGGUCUAAGGCGCCAGACUCAAGUUCUGGUCUUCGCCUCAAAUCCCACUUCUGACA